AAUCCAAGGUCAGGUUGAGAGGCAGCAGCAAAUUCCAGAAGUCAGAAGCCGGGAGUAGUCGUCAGUCAGGGAGCGUAGACAGAAGCCAGGUCAAAUUCAAUCCAAAGUCCGAAGAGGGUGCAGUCAUCCAAACCAGGUCCACGAUAAGACACAGCGAGAGCCAAGCCAGAUGGUAUCAGCAGCUAGAAAUAGUAAUCAGAAUGCAGUCCAAGGAAACCCACACAGUUCCAUCCCUCUGCUGCAGAGCAGUCCCAGAUAACUUACAUCCGAAUCACAGUCCAAGUCCAGUCUUCACGGAAACACAGAGAUCCCAAUGGUGCCUCAGCAUCCAUUUCCCCAAACUCCCCAUCUGAAUCUUCCUCAGAAGAUCCCCCAUAUAGCUCUCUAAGUCGCUUCCUGCGCAACUCCUCCAGUGAACCCUCAUCACGAGGGUUUUUUCUUCCUCUUCGGAUCCCAUCACCAUCAACCAUAAUCCCCGAAGGCGCAGUCACAACAUCUAUAGUAAAAUAAGCGUGUUGGCUUUUUCUAGCAGCUCUUGCACUCAUUGCAGUCAAUAAUGUAGAAAUGUAACAUUUUUGUUGUCUCUUUAAAUUUCUACAGAUAGCUAUUCCAUACCUAUAUCUUUUACUGUAAUAGUAAUUUGUUGAGUGACAAGUAAAUCUUAGCUUUUCAACAAUUUUAGUGUCCCGCAUCCUGGAUAUUUUGCACACGUGUGCUUAUUGCUAUUUGGUGGUUGUUUGUAUAGUUCAAGUUUGCACCACAUUUCAAGAUGGUGCUGUGAUUAAAUCAAUAUGAGAUACAUCAGCAAUCAGGAAAGUCUAUAAUUAGGAUCAAAUCUGUAUGAAUGUAAAUCAACAUGACUUGUCACAUGACACAAUAAAUGCUAAAAAAAAGUCUUUGAUUUGCCUUCAUCAACUAAAGUUGGUUCAGUCAUUUCCCAAAAAAUAAUGGCAGGAUAUCUGAUAUGUACUUCAUCUAUUUGUAGUUCCUAAGGACAGAAUUAGAUGCCAAGUUGACAAGUAUGGUGAUGUCAAGGUGCAGUUGGUAAGGAAAACUGAGUAGGAAGAAAAGAAAAAAACCUCAGCAUUCUCAUGGGUUGCCUUGUCUGACUUGUCAGGGACCUCCUGGGAUAUUCAAAAGGAAGAGGUGGUCCCAGAUGAAAGGAUUCGAGCAGAAUCACAGGCGUUUAGCCUACAAGCAGAGCUUGGACAAUGAUAUGCUGACAUUGAAGAGAAGGUAUUGGUGGCUGAGCUACAUCAAACUUUGGAGUGUCAUAGACUGAAAUGACAGCAGCAAAAAUAUAGGCAAGGGCAUGGCCCGUCUUAAAAGGAAAAGGCUGGGAUAAUGAAGCUAGCUAGAUCAUAAAUUAGCAAAGUCAAGGUUGUGUCUGCUGCAGAAGAAGAGCUGAGCUAUCUCUAUCAUUGUCUUGGUACCCACGCUCUUUUUUCCUGAACCUUGCUUUCUGUACCUUUCUCUCUUGUUAAUCCCUGACUCUUCUUUGAAAUGGCUUGGUUUGUAUUGACUACUUCUCUGUGUUUCUGUAUUCUCAGUGCAUGGCUUUGAACCAGCUUGGUCGCUCCUUUGUCUCUUGAGCUGAAGGUGUACACCCCAUGGCACUAGCCAUCCUGAAACAGAAUAUGAGCUUCUGCUCAGCUUUGGUGAUUUGAUAUCUAUAUCUAUAUAUAUAAAUGAGUGAUGGCAUCACGGCGACCAACAAAACAACAAAACUACAGGCCCCCAACCUUGAAAUUUGACAACACAACCCAUCAUCCACGCCUCUAGGUUGAUACAACAAAAAGAAAAGAAAAAUAAAGUCCUAAUUAGAGGGAAAGGAAUAAUUGUUUUUAUCCAAUUACUGCCAGUUUAGAGGGCUAAUCUCUGCCCACUUGGUCUCCUAGCAACCCACUCAGCCCAGGGGACAGGCAGACUUAGGCCUCGGCCUCUUCCACAGAUUAUCUAAUUUGCACUGGAUUAUAUGGCAGUGUAGACUCAAGGCCCUUCCACACAGCUAUAUAACCCAUUUAUAAUCUUAUAUUAUCUGCUUUUCACUGGAUUAUCUGGAGUCCACACUACCAUAUAAUCCACUUCAGUGUGCAUUUUAUACAGCUGUGUAGAAGGGGCCUCAUAUAAUCCAGUUCUAAGCAGAUAAUAUUAGAUUAUCAAUAUACAGUAGAGUCUCACUUAUCCAACAUAAACGGGCCGGCAGAACGUUGGAUAAGUGAAUAUGUUGGAUAAUAAGAAGGGAUUCAGGAAAAGCCUAUUAAACAUCAAAGGUGAUGAUUUUACAAAUUAAGCACUAAAACAUCAUGUGAAACAACAAAUUUGACAGAAAAGGUAGUUCAAUGCGCAGUGAUGCUAUGUAGUAAUUAUACCACCAUACUUUGCCACAGCAACGCGUGGCCGGGCACAGCUAGUAUAUAUAUAAAUGAGUGAUGGCAUCACGGCGACCAACAAAACAACAAAACUACAGGCCCCCCAACCUCGAAAUUUGACAACAUAACCCAUCAUCCACGCCUCUAGUUAUAUAUAUAUUCACACACACACACACACACACACACACAUAUACACAAAUGUGUGUGUACAUACACAUACAUAUAUGUGUGUAUGUGUAUAUAGAGAUACAGAUAUGGAUAUCUUUCCUUCUCUGCCAAAGGCUUGGAGGAACCAAGAGGACUGUGAAUCCCAAACACA
ensembl:lncRNA